GUAACUGAUCUAAUAAGUGAUCUCUGCUGAUCAAGUGUAAGACAUUUUCCUUCCUUCAUAAUGCUAGUAUCUACACAGGGAAGUUCAGGAGUACAUUCCCCCAUUAAUGAUUGAAACACCUUCAAGAAUUCCUGUUCCACAGCUAGAGGAUCUGUUAGUUUUAUACAUGUGUCAGUAUAAAUUGAAGUGAUGUUAUUUUGCCCUGUCCUGAUCCUCCAUUGUGCAUGAAAAUACUUAGUAUUAGCAUCACCACAUUCAAUCCAGAGAGCUUUGGAUUUCUGCCUCAUUAUUUGUUCCUCCACACUGUUCCAUUUCUCAAUUU
rnacentral:lncRNA from 1 species